UACGUAGGGGGCUAGCGUUGUCCGGAAUCAUUGGGCGUAAAGCGCGUGUAGGCGGCCCGGUAAGUCCGCUGUGAAAGUCAAAGGCUCAACCUUUGAAUGUCAGCGGAUACUGCCAGGCUAGAGUCCGGAAGAGGCGAGUGGAAUUCCUGGUGUAGCGGUGGAAUGCGCAGAUAUCAGGAGGAACACCAACGGCGAAGGCAGCUCGCUGGGACGGUACUGACGCUGAGGCGCGAAAGCGUGGGGAGCGAACAGG
rnacentral:rRNA from 1 species